GCUCCGAGCAGGUCCUGCCGAGAGUGGUUGAGAAAGGUUGUGUUUUCUCUUGAUUACGCGGUCAGUGAGCGGUGAUUUGGGACUCACUUAGUGUCAGGAAGUGCAUAAAGUGUUCAAGAAUAAUCAGAAAGAGUCAUGAACCUACCAGAAGCGGUGUUCGGUUAUUGCAUGAUCACCUUUUAUAUAUUCUCCGGUGACCCCGAGACAGGUGAGAACAAGUUGCGUGUGACCUGGUUCGUGUGACCUCAGAAGUGCGGUCCGUCCCAGCGCCCUAAGCCUUCUCGCCUCAGAUUCUGCACGAUAAGGGAAAACAUACACACGAUUCGUCUUAAUUAGCCAGUGGAGCGAGCGAAUAAUCUCCCUGCUUCACACCUCCUUACCUGUCUGCCUCACCUUGUUACACCUGCGCGUGAUGGAUGGCGUCCGCUCACCUGUGUUCCUCGUGAGAAAGAAGAGAGGAAAGGAUUAUUUGGUGAUUAUCUCUACCGUGAAGGUGUGAAUUAAUGUAUUGACAGAUAGACAGACACAUAAACACACACACACACACACACAGAGAGAGAGAGAGAGAGAGAGAGAGAGAGAGAGAGAGAGAGAGAGAGAGAGAGAGAGAGAGAGAGAGAGAGAGAGAGAGAGAGAGAGAGAGAGAGACUUAAAUAUACAUAUAUUCGUACAUUAUUUCCAUCCUAAAAAAUGUCACUUCCUCUUCCUCCUCCUCCUCCUCCUCCUCUUAGUCUUCUUUGUUAUUUUGCCGUCAUCUCUAUUGUCUUUUAUCUUUAUCUCUUCUUUUCUUCUCUUUCUCCUUGUCCUUACUUGGUUUCAGUAAUAUAUCCGUAAUAAUUUUCCUCCUUCUCCUCCUCCUCCUCCGCCUCUUCCUCCUCUUAGCUAAUGUUUAAUUCAGGAAAGUGACCGAUCAGUAAG